AUUGAACGCUGGUGGCAGGCUUAACACAUGCAAGUCGAGCGGGGUGAUGGUGCUUGCACUAUCACUUAGCGGCGGACGGGUGAGUAAUGCUUAGGAAUCUGCCUAUUAGUGGGGGGCAACAUCUCGAAAGGGAUGCUAAUACCGCAUACGUCCUACGGGAGAAAGCAGGGGAUCACUUGUGACCUUGCGCUAAUAGAUGAGCCUAAGUCGGAUUAGCUAGUUGGUGGGGUAAAGGCCUACCAAGGCGACGAUCUGUAGCGGGUCUGAGAGGAUGAUCCGCCACACUGGGACUGAGACACGGCCCAGACUCCUACGGGAGGCAGCAGUGGGGAAUAUUGGACAAUGGGGGGAACCCUGAUCCAGCCAUGCCGCGUGUGUGAAGAAGGCCUUAUGGUUGUAAAGCACUUUAAGCGAGGAGGAGGCUCUUUUGGUUAAUACCCAAGAUGAGUGGACGUUACUCGCAGAAUAAGCACCGGCUAACUCUGUGCCAGCAGCCGCGGUAA
rnacentral:rRNA from 1 species